UACGUAGGGCGCGAGCGUUGUCCGGAAUUAUUGGGCGUAAAGGCUCGUAGGCGGCCAACUAAGUCAGACGUGAAAUCCCUCGGCUUAACCGGGGAACUGCGUCUGAUACUGGAUGGCUUGAGUUUGGGAGAGGGAUGCGGAAUUCCAGGUGUAGCGGUGAAAUGCGUAGAUAUCUGGAGGAACACCGGUGGCGAAGGCGGCAUCCUGGACCAACACUGACGCUGAGGAGCGAAAGCCAGGGGAGCAAACGGG
rnacentral:rRNA from 1 species